GAGACCAAAAUAGGGUCCAACGCAUCCUGAGACCUCGAGCUGGUAACGUACAGGGAAGGUGAACAGUGAGUCAGCUCUUCCUUCCGCUAAGUCAACAUAGUGGCCUUAUUCCCACCACUCCAGGCUGGGAAAGCACAAACAUACAAGAAAUGCCUUUAAUCACGGAAUAAGACUAAGCCUCAAGCCCCCUCAUCUGCCAGAGUGUGCUCUGCUGUCAAACCUCAAAGUCAUUGAGAAACAAACCCUGAUAAUCUCACCCGGCUUCAAGACCAAGGGAGUCCUAGUAUCAUGGAGAAGAGCAAGGAGGGGCCCAGGGCUGCCGAAGAUAGAUGUCUACCAAUUAGGAAGAGAGCCCUCACCAGGAAAUCUGCUGAUACCUGGAUCUUGAACUUCCCAGCCAACAGAAUUGUGGUGAAUAAAUGUAUGUAUUUUAA
rnacentral:antisense_RNA from 1 species